GACGAACGCUGGCGGCGUGCUUAACACAUGCAAGUCGAACGGUAAGGCCCUUCGGGGUACACGAGUGGCGAACGGGUGAGUAACACGUGGGUGAUCUGCCCUGCACUUCGGGAUAAGCCUGGGAAACUGGGUCUAAUACCGGAUAGGACCACUGCCUGCAUGGGUGGUGGUGGAAAGCUUUUGCGGUGUGGGAUGGGCCCGCGGCCUAUCAGCUUGUUGGUGGGGUGAUGGCCUACCAAGGCGACGACGGGUAGCCGGCCUGGGGGGGUGACCGGCGACGCGGGGACGCAGUUCCGGCCCAGGCUCCUAGGGGGGGCAGCAGUGGGGAAUAUUGCACAAGGGGCGAAAGCGUGAUGCAGCGACGCCGCGUGAGGGAUGACGGCCUUGGGGUUGUAAACCUCUUUCAGCACCGACGAAGCGCAAGUGACGGUAGGUGCAGAAGAAGGACCGGCCAACUACGUGCCAGCCGCCGCCGUAA
rnacentral:rRNA from 1 species